AGCUACCCAGCAAUGGGAUGCGAAUCUCGAAAGCCUGUCUCAGUUCGGAUUGGAGGCUGAAACCCGCCUCCAUGAAGUUGGAUUCGCUAGUAAUCGCGCAUCAGCCAUGGCGCGGUGAAUACGUUCCCGGGCCUUGUACACACCGCCCGUCAAGCCAUGGGAGCCGGGGGUGCCUGAAGUUCGUGACCGCAAGGAGCGACCUAGGGCAAAACUGGUGACUGGGGCUAAGUCGUAACAAGGUAUC
rnacentral:rRNA from 1 species